rnacentral:rRNA from 1 species
AGGACGAACGCUGGCGGCGUGCUUAACACAUGCAAGUCGAGCGGAAAGGCCCUUCGGGGUACUCGAGCGGCGAACGGGUGAGUAACACGUGAGUAACCUGCCCUGGACUUUGGGAUAACCCUCGGAAACGGGGGCUAAUACCGAAUAUGACCUGACGCUGCAUGGUGUUUGGUGGUAAAGUUUUUCGGUCUGGGAUGGGCUCGCGGCCUAUCAGCUUGUUGGUGGGUGAUGGCCUACCAAGGCGACGACGGGUA